UACGAAGGGGGCUAGCGUUGCUCGGAAUGACUGGGCGUAAAGGGCGCGUAGGCGGCUUGCACAGUCAGGCGUGAAAUUCCUGGGCUCAACCUGGGGACUGCGCUUGAGACGUGUGGGCUUGAGUGGGGAAGAGGGUCGUGGAAUUCCCAGUGUAGAGGUGAAAUUCGUAGAUAUUGGGAAGAACACCGGUGGCGAAGGCGGCGACCUGGUCCUUGACUGACGCUGAGACGCGAAAGCGUGGGGAGCGAACAGG
rnacentral:rRNA from 1 species